UGACGACCUGGGGACGGCGGCGGCGCUGACGACCUGGGAACGGCGGCGACAAUGGAGGGCUAGGGUUCCUCCGCUUCAGAGUCCUCCAAUCUCCAGUACAGGGAGUAUAGUGACAAAUGAUUAAAUGAAAUCAUGAAUGAAUGAUUUU